GAUGAACGCUGGCGGCGUGCCUAAUACAUGCAAGUCGAGCGAACAGACGCGGAGCUUGCUCCUCUGACGUUAGCGGCGGACGGGUGAGUAACACGUGGAUAACCUACCUAUAAGACUGGGAUAACUUCGGGAAACCGGAGCUAAUACCGGAUAAUAUAUUGAACCGCAUGGUUCAAUAGUGAAAGACGGUUUUGCUGUCACUUAUAGAUGGAUCCGCGCCGCAUUAGCUAGUUGGUAAGGUAACGGCUUACCAAGGCGACGAUGCGUAGCCGACCUGAGAGGGUGAUCGGCCACACUGGAACUGAGACACGGACCAGACUCCUACGGGAGGCAGCAGUAGGGAAUCUUCCGCAAUGGGCGAAAGCCUGACGGAGCAACGCCGCGUGAGUGAUGAAGGUCUUCGGAUCGUAAAACUCUGUUAUUAGGGAAGAACAAAUGUGUAAGUAACUAUGCACGUCUUGACGGUACCUAAUCAGAAAGCCACGGCUAACUACGUG
rnacentral:rRNA from 1 species